AUCCACCCACCUUAUCCCUCUACCCUAAUGCUUUUCCUCCAUAUUUUCCUAUCCAGGAUCAUGUCCUCAGUCAGUUGUAAUCUCUCCAAGUCACGUUUAAUCACUUCCCUCCAGUAUCUCUUCGGUCUACCCCUACCCCGCUUGAAACCAUCCAAGGUCAACCUCUCAUACCUACUAACCAGAGCAUCUGUGUCCCUCCUCAUCACAUGACCAAACCAUCUCAACCUCACUUCCCG
rnacentral:lncRNA from 1 species